rnacentral:lncRNA from 1 species
GUUCACUAUUUCUGGAGCUACGAAUUCUGGAGUUCCAAAAAUGUUUUUAAAUUCAACUCCAUCUUCUAUUUUGUGAGCCAGGCCAAAGUCUAUGAGUUUGAUGUGUGGAAUAGGGAUGUUCUUGUCUAGAAGCAUAAUGUUUUCAGGCUUUAAAUCAAAGUGAGCAAUUUUCUUAGAGUGAAGGUAAUUCACACCAUCCAAAAUCUGCUUGAUGAAUCUGGUUGCUUCCUCUUCACUCAAAGAUUCCUUCUGCGCCAGGAAGUCAAAAAGUUCUCCUCCAGACACUAGCUCAAGGAUGAGAACCACAUCUGUCUUGUUCUCAUAGAUGUCAUGAAGCUUGAUGAUGUUGGCGUGUAGGGUCUGCUGCAGAAUGUCCACCUCCCGUUCUAUUUCCUCACGCCGCACCCCACGACGACUGGCCCGACUCUGGCGCUUCUUAAUGAACUUAGCAGCGUACUCCAAACCGGUGCUUAUUUCUCUACAUUUCUUCACAAUAGCAAAUUGGCCACUUCCCAGUUCUUCCCCAAUUUCGUAAACGUCCUCCACCUUCUGUUGCUUGAACAAAGCCAUACUUGGACUCUUCAUUGAUGCACAGAGACAAUGCAACGCCCGGCUCCUCGGCCGCUGCCGCGCGCGCAGAUCCGCGAGGCCGCGGGGGCUGAGGGGCG